CUUUGUCCUCUCCUGCUCAAGAUAGUGACCUCCUGGGCAACUGGCAGCCUUAGACACUUCAAUGCCUUCAAGAUAUUCCGCUCCAGAGGUUGUAUUUGCUGCAACUUUUCAGGGUCUUCUGCUUUGCUAACUAGAACCCAUGUUAAUUUUGGGCUCAAAGAGAAUGUGACAGUUAUUUGCAUUAAUUCACCCAGUUCAAAGGUAAAUACACUGAAUAAAGAAGUACAAUCAGAAUUCAUGGAAAUGAUCAAAUCAGGGCCAGUGAUCAAAUCUAAAGUGCUG
rnacentral:lncRNA from 1 species